UAGGGAAUCUUCGGCAAUGGACGAAAGUCUGACCGAGCAACGCCGCGUGAGUGAAGAAGGAUUUCGGAUCGUAAAACUCUGUUGUUAGAGAAGAACAAGGACGUUAGUAACUGAACGUCCCCUGACGGUAUCUAACCAGAAAGCCACGGCUAACUACGUGCCAGCAGCCGCGGUAAUACGUAGGUGGCAAGCGUUGUCCGGAUUUAUUGGGCGUAAAGCGAGCGCAGGCGGUUUCUUAAGUCUGAUGUGAAAGCCCCCGGCUCAACCGGGGAGGGUCAUUGGAAACUGGGAGACUUGAGUGCAGAAGAGGAGAGUGGAAUUCCAUGUGUAGCGGUGAAAUGCGUAGAUAUAUGGAGGAACACCAGUGGCGAAGGCGGCUCUCUGGUCUGUAACUGACGCUGAGGCUCGAAAGCGUGGGGAGCAAACAGG
rnacentral:rRNA from 2 species